rnacentral:rRNA from 1 species
GACGAACGCUGGCGGCGCGCCUAACACAUGCAAGUCGAACGAGCGAGAGAGAGCUUGCUUUCUCGAGCGAGUGGCGAACGGGUGAGUAACGCGUGAGGAACCUGCCUCAAAGAGGGGGACAACAGUUGGAAACGACUGCUAAUACCGCAUAAGCCCACGGUGCCGCAUGGUACAGAGGGAAAAGGAGCAAUCCGCUUUGAGAUGGCCUCGCGUCCGAUUAGCUAGUUGGUGAGGUAACGGCCCACCAAGGCGACGAUCGGUAGCCGGACUGAGAGGUUGAACGGCCACAUUGGGACUGAGACACGGCCCAGACUCCUACGGGAGGCAGCAGUGGGGAAUAUUGCACAAUGGGGGAAACCCUGAUGCAGCGACGCCGCGUGGAGGAAGAAGGUCUUCGGAUUGUAAACUCCUGUUGUUGGGGAAGAUAAUGACGGUACCCAACAAGGAAGUGACGGCUAACUACGUGCCAGCAGCCGCGGUAAAACGUAGGUCACAAGCGUUGUCCGGAAUUACUGGGUGUAAAGGGAGCGCAGGCGGGAAGACAAGUUGGAAGUGAAAUCUAUGGGCUCAACCCAUAAACUGCUUUCAAAACUGUUUUUCUUGAGUAGUGCAGAGGUAGGCGGAAUUCCCGGUGUAGCGGUGGAAUGCGUAGAUAUCGGGAGGAACACCAGUGGCGAAGGCGGCCUACUGGG